GUUAAGCGACUAAGCGUACACGGUGGAUGCCCUGGCAGUCAGAGGCGAUGAAGGACGUGCUAAUCUGCGAUAAGCGUCGGUAAGGUGAUAUGAACCGUUAUAACCGGCGAUUUCCGAAUGGGGAAACCCAGUGUGUUUCGACACACUAUCAUUAACUGAAUCCAUAGGUUAAUGAGGCGAACCGGGGGAACUGAAACAUCUAAGUACCCCGAGGAAAAGAAAUCAACCGAGAUUCCCCCAGUAGCGGCGAGCGAACGGGGAGCAGCCCAGAGCCUGAAUCAGUGUGUGUGUUAGUGGAAGCGUCUGGAAAGGCGCGCGAUACAGGGUGACAGCCCCGUACACAAAAAUGCACAUGCUGUGAGCUCGAUGAGUAGGGCGGGACACGUGGUAUCCUGUCUGAAUAUGGGGGGACCAUCCUCCAAGGCUAAAUACUCCUGACUGACCGAUAGUGAACCAGUACCGUGAGGGAAAGGCGAAAAGAACCCCGGCGAGGGGAGUGAAAAAGAACCUGAAACCGUGUACGUACAAGCAGUGGGAGCACGCUUAGGCGUGUGACUGCGUACCUUUUGUAUAAUGGGUCAGCGACUUAUAUUCUGUAGCAAGGUUAACCGAAUAGGGGAGCCGAAGGGAAACCGAGUCUUAACUGGGCGUUAAGUUGCAGGGUAUAGACCCGAAACCCGGUGAUCUAGCCAUGGGCAGGUUGAAGGUUGGGUAACACUAACUGGAGGACCGAACCGACUAAUGUUGAAAAAUUAGCGGAUGACUUGUGGCUGGGGGUGAAAGGCCAAUCAAACCGGGAGAUAGCUGGUUCUCCCCGAAAGCUAUUUAGGUAGCGCCUCGUGAAUUCAUCUCCGGGGGUAGAGCACUGUUUCGGCAAGGGGGUCAUCCCGACUUACCAACCCGAUGCAAACUGCGAAUACCGGAGAAUGUUAUCACGGGAGACACACGGCGGGUGCUAACGUCCGUCGUGAAGAGGGAAACAACCCAGACCGCCAGCUAAGGUCCCAAAGUCAUGGUUAAGUGGGAAACGAUGUGGGAAGGCCCAGACAGCCAGGAUGUUGGCUUAGAAGCAGCCAUCAUUUAAAGAAAGCGUAAUAGCUCACUGGUCGAGUCGGCCUGCGCGGAAGAUGUAACGGGGCUAAACCAUGCACCGAAGCUGCGGCAGCGACGCUUAUGCGUUGUUGGGUAGGGGAGCGUUCUGUAAGCCUGUGAAGGUGUGCUGUGAGGCAUGCUGGAGGUAUCAGAAGUGCGAAUGCUGACAUAAGUAACGAUAAAGCGGGUGAAAAGCCCGCUCGCCGGAAGACCAAGGGUUCCUGUCCAACGUUAAUCGGGGCAGGGUGAGUCGACCCCUAAGGCGAGGCCGAAAGGCGUAGUCGAUGGGAAACAGGUUAAUAUUCCUGUACUUGGUGUUACUGCGAAGGGGGGACGGAGAAGGCUAUGUUGACCGGGCGACGGUUGUCCCGGUUUAAGCGUGUAGGCUGGUUUUCCAGGCAAAUCCGGAAAAUCAAGGCUGAGGCGUGAUGACGAGGCACUACGGUGCUGAAGCAACAAAUGCCCUGCUUCCAGGAAAAGCCUCUAAGCAUCAGGUAACAUCAAAUCGUACCCCAAACCGACACAGGUGGUCAGGUAGAGAAUACCAAGGCGCUUGAGAGAACUCGGGUGAAGGAACUAGGCAAAAUGGUGCCGUAACUUCGGGAGAAGGCACGCUGAUAUGUAGGUGAAGUCCCUCGCGGAUGGAGCUGAAAUCAGUCGAAGAUACCAGCUGGCUGCAACUGUUUAUUAAAAACACAGCACUGUGCAAACACGAAAGUGGACGUAUACGGUGUGACGCCUGCCCGGUGCCGGAAGGUUAAUUGAUGGGGUCAGCGCAAGCGAAGCUCUUGAUCGAAGCCCCGGUAAACGGCGGCCGUAACUAUAACGGUCCUAAGGUAGCGAAAUUCCUUGUCGGGUAAGUUCCGACCUGCACGAAUGGCGUAAUGAUGGCCAGGCUGUCUCCACCCGAGACUCAGUGAAAUUGAACUCGCUGUGAAGAUGCAGUGUACCCGCGGCAAGACGGAAAGACCCCGUGAACCUUUACUAUAGCUUGACACUGAACAUUGAGCCUUGAUGUGUAGGAUAGGUGGGAGGCUUAGAAGUGUGGACGCCAGUCUGCAUGGAGCCGACCUUGAAAUACCACCCUUUAAUGUUUGAUGUUCUAACGUUGACCCGUAAUCCGGGUUGCGGACAGUGUCUGGUGGGUAGUUUGACUGGGGCGGUCUCCUCCUAAAGAGUAACGGAGGAGCACGAAGGUUGGCUAAUCCUGGUCGGACAUCAGGAGGUUAGUGCAAUGGCAUAAGCCAGCUUGACUGCGAGCGUGACGGCGCGAGCAGGUGCGAAAGCAGGUCAUAGUGAUCCGGUGGUUCUGAAUGGAAGGGCCAUCGCUCAACGGAUAAAAGGUACUCCGGGGAUAACAGGCUGAUACCGCCCAAGAGUUCAUAUCGACGGCGGUGUUUGGCACCUCGAUGUCGGCUCAUCACAUCCUGGGGCUGAAGUAGGUCCCAAGGGUAUGGCUGUUCGCCAUUUAAAGUGGUACGCGAGCUGGGUUUAGAACGUCGUGAGACAGUUCGGUCCCUAUCUGCCGUGGGCGCUGGAGAACUGAGGGGGGCUGCUCCUAGUACGAGAGGACCGGAGUGGACGCAUCACUGGUGUUCGGGUUGUCAUGCCAAUGGCACUGCCCGGUAGCUAAAUGCGGAAGAGAUAAGUGCUGAAAGCAUCUAAGCACGAAACUUGCCCCGAGAUGAGUUCUCCCUGACUCCUUGAGAGUCCUGAAGGAACGUUGAAGACGACGACGUUGAUAGGCCGGGUGUGUAAGCGCAGCGAUGCGUUGAGCUAACCGGUACUAAUGAACCGUGAGG
rnacentral:rRNA from 1 species